GAGGCUCUCGGGCGGCCCUGGCCGGGGAAGAUGAGUGGCAUGUGUCGCUUCAGCCGGCGAUAGCGGUGGGAGCGGAGGUGGAGGGGCCUGUGCGACCACCUGCGUUUGGGAAAUGGCCUCGGACAUUUCUGAAUCCAGUGGGGCUGAUUGCAAAGGAGACCCGAGGAACAGUGCCAAGUUAGACAUGGAUUACCCGCUUCGAGUCCUUUAUUGUGGAGUCUGUUCAUUACCAACAGAGUACUGUGAAUAUAUGCCUGAUGUUGCUAAACGUAGACAAUGGUUAGAGAAGAAUUUCCCAAAUGAGUUUGCAAAACUUACUGUAGAAAAUUCGCCCAAACAAGAAGCUGGAAUUAGUGAGGGUCAAGGUACAACAGGAGAAGAAGAGGAGAAGAAAAAACAGAAGAGAGGUGGAAGAGGUCAAAUAAAACAAAAAAAGAAGACUGUACCACAAAAGGUUACUAUAGUCAAAAUUCCCAGAGCAAAGAAGAAAUAUGUAACAAGAGUGUGUGGCCUUGCAACUUUCGAAAUUGAUCUUAAAGAAGCACAAAGAUAUUUUGCUCAAAAAUUCUCCUUUGGUGCCUCAGUAACUGGGGAAGAUGAAAUUAUCAUUCAGGGAGACUUUACAGAUGAUGUCAUUGAAGUCAUUCAGGAAAAAUGGCCAGAGGUAGAUGAUGACAGCAUUGAAGAUCUUGGAGAAGUAAAGAAGUGAUUUUGAAAAGGUGUCUGUAUUUAAUGACCUGAACUGAAAGUUGAUAGGCCAAGGGAAGAGAGGCCUUUUAACAACAACAACAACAACAAAAUAUAUAU